GAUGAACGCUGGCGGCGUGCCUAAUACAUGCAAGUCGAGCGAACAGACGCGGCGCUUGCUCCUCUGUCGUUAGCGGCGGACGUGUGUGUCACACGUGGAUAGCCUACCUAUAAGACUGGGAUCACUUCGGGACACCGGCGCUUAUCGCGGAUAAUAUCUUGAACCGCAUGGUUCGAUAGUGAAAGACGGUUUUGCUGUAACUUCUAGAUGGAUCCGCGCCGCAUUGGGUAGUUGGUAAGGUAACGGCUUACCAAGGCAACGAGGCGUAGACGACGUGUGAGGCGGGUCGGCCACAUGGGAGGGUGACCACGGACCAUGGGCCUACGGUAGGGAGCAGUAUGGAAUCUGCCGCAAUGGGCGAAAGCCUGACAGAGCAACGCCACGUGAGUGAUGAAGGUCUCCGGAGCGUAAAACUCUGUUAUUAGGGAAGAACAAAUGUGUAAGUAACUAUGCACGUCUUGACGGUACCGAAUCAGAAAGCCACGGCUAACUACGUG
rnacentral:rRNA from 1 species